AUACGUAGGUGGCAAGCGUUGUCCGGAAUUACUGGGUGUAAAGGGCGUGUAGGCGGAGCGGCAAGUCAGAAGUGAAAUCUCUGGGCUCAACCCGGAAACUGCUUUUGAGACUGUCGCCCUUGAGUAUCGGAGAGGCAGGCGGAAUUCCUAGUGUAGCGGUGAAAUGCGUAGAUAUUAGGAGGAACACCAGUGGCGAAGGCGGCCUGCUGGACGACAACUGACGCUGAGGCGCGAAAGCGUGGGGAGCAAACAGGAUUAGAUACCCGGGUAGUCCACGCCGUAAACGAUGGAUACUAGGUGUGGGGGGACUGACCCCCUCCGUGCCGCAGUAAACACAAUAAGUAUCCCACCUGGGGAGUACGACCGCAAGGUUGAAACUCAAAUGAAUUGGCGGGG
rnacentral:rRNA from 1 species